GGAGAGGUGGCCGAGAGGCUGAAGGCGGCGGUUUGCUAAACCGUUAUACGACCAAAAGUCGUAUCGAGGGUUCGAAUCCCUCCCUCUCCG
rnacentral:tRNA from 3 species